GUGCGGUGCGGUGCGGUGCGGUGCGGUGCGGUGCGGUGCGGUGCGGUGCGGUGCGGUGCGGUGCGGUGCGGUGCGGUGCGGUGCGGUGCGGGGCGGGGCGGAGCGGAGCGGAGGGAAGG
rnacentral:miRNA from 1 species